UGUAAACGAUGCCGACAGAGGUUUGUCAUUUUAUAAUGGCAGAACUUUUAGAGAAAUCAUAGUUCUUGGGCUCUGGGGGAACUACGACCGCAAGGCUGAAACUUGAAGGAAUUGACGGAAGGGCACACCAGGGGUGGAGCCUGUGGCUUAAUUUGAAUCAACACGGGGAAACUUACCAGGACCAGAUGUUUUUUAUGACUGACAGGCUUCGGGUCUUUCAGGAUAUUGCUUUUGGUGGUGCAUGGCCGUUGGUGGUGCGUGGGUUGACCUGUCUAGCGUUGAUUCAGCUAACGAGCGAGAUUAUCGCCAAUUAUAUACCUCGCAUUGGCUUCAGUGUUGAGGUUCUAAUUGGGACUCCCUGCGAUUUUAGCAGGCGGAAGAGGGUAGCAAUAACAGGUCCGUGAUGUCCUUUAGAUGCUCUGGGCUGCACGCGUGCUACAAUGCUAAGAUCAAUAGGAAGCUAGUCUGAUAGGACAUGCUACUCUUAUAAUCCUUAGCGUAGUUGGGA
rnacentral:rRNA from 1 species